rnacentral:tRNA from 1 species
UGAACGAAAGCCAAACUAGCGGCGCCUAGCUGUUAAUUAGGAGACUGUAGAAUGAAUACUACUCGUCCAG